rnacentral:rRNA from 1 species
UAACGCGUGAGUAACCUGCCUCUAAGAGGGGAAUAACAUUCUGAAAAGAAAGCUAAUACCGCAUAACAUAUAUUUAUCGCAUGGUAGAUAUAUCAAAGAUUUAUCGCUUAGAGAUGGACUCGCGUCCGAUUAGUUAGUUGGUGAGGUAACGGCUCACCAAGACUGCGAUCGGUAGCCGGACUGAGAGGUUGAACGGCCACAUUGGGACUGAGACACGGCCCAG